rnacentral:pre_miRNA from 1 species
GAAGAUGCUGGAUGUGCCUUUGCCGUGAGGAAUGACGUAUGGCCCGAAGCUAUCUCUUGGAUGGCCUUGAUGAAGCUCCGGACCAGGCUUCAUUCCCCUCGGCGGAGUUGCAAAUGUGGACAC